GAUGAACGCUAGCGGCAGGCCUAACACAUGCAAGUCGAGGGGUAGAGGAAGCUUGCUUCCUUGAGACCGGCGCACGGGUGCGUAACGCGUAUGCAAUCUACCUUUUACAGAGGGAUAGCCCAGAGAAAUUUGGAUUAAUACCUCAUAGUAUCUUUGCCUGGCAUCGGGUGAUUAUUAAAGUUCCAACGGUAAAAGAUGAGCAUGCGUCCUAUUAGCUAGAUGGUAUGGUAACGGCUUACCAUGGCAACGAUAGGUAGGGGUCCUGAGAGGGAGAUCCCCCACACUGGUACUGAGACACGGGCCAGACUCCUACGGGAGGCAGCAGUGAGGAAUAUUGGACAAUGGGCGCAAGCCUGAUCCAGCCAUGCCGCGUGCAGGAAGACGGUCCUAUGGAUUGUAAACCGCUUUUGUACGGGAAGAAACACUCCUACGUGUAGGAGCUUGACGGUACCGUAAGAAUAAGGACCGGCUAACUCCGUGCCAGCCACCGCCGUAACAC
rnacentral:rRNA from 1 species